GGCCACCUUCGGGGGGCUUUACCGAAGGCGAUAAAACCGCCGACACAGCAAACGGAAGACAGAAA
ncrna:unclassified sequences L2-Alphaproteobacteria ribosomal protein leader